rnacentral:rRNA from 1 species
ACAUGCAAGUCGAGCGGUAGCACAGGGGAGCUUGCUCCCUGGGUGACGAGCGGCGGACGGGUGAGUAAUGUCUGGGAAACUGCCUGAUGGAGGGGGAUAACUACUGGAAACGGUAGCUAAUACCGCAUAACGUCGCAAGACCAAAGAGGGGGACCUUCGGGCCUCUUGCCAUCAGAUGUGCCCAGAUGGGAUUAGCUAGUAGGUGGGGUAAUGGCUCACCUAGGCGACGAUCCCUAGCUGGUCUGAGAGGAUGACCAGCCACACUGGAACUGAGACACGGUCCAGACUCCUACGGGAGGCAGCAGUGGGGAAUAUUGCACAAUGGGCGCAAGCCUGAUGCAGCCAUGCCGCGUGUGUGAAGAAGGCCUUCGGGU